CUGUUUUCUUGUGCUUUCUUUGGUACCCUGGAGAGUCUGCAAAAGCUCUUCGCAAAAGACAACACUAGCACUUGAGUGUCUAUCACACAGAGAGCCCAGAGCCAGAUAAUUAAGAACAAUGUGAAACAAGAAGUGCCCAGAGAUGCUGAUUCUCAUUUUCAUCAGUCACAAAGGAGUGAUCAUCAUCUGGAGGCACUCCCACUGGCAGGACCACUGUCUCCCCACUUCGAAGUAGGAAACACAGGAUCUAGAGAGCCUUCUGAUGUCAGUACCUGAGCUCCCCAAUCUCCACCUGCUGGGCUGUUAUCAGAAAGACCAACCAGGAGAACCUGCAAGGGUAGAGGAAAUUCUUCCUGACAGAAGCACUCAUUCCAUGAGUGUGAAAUUUCAGCACACUGGACACCAGAGACAAGGAGUUGUUGACAUUAUUUCUAUCUCUGUCUAUAAAUCCUCUUCCUUCUUUUCCAGUUUGUGUCCUUUUCAGUCAAAUUUAUAUCCUGAGUUAUCUUUAAGCUGGGAUUAGCAUAACUCACUGUUCUUUGAAAUACUCACUAAAUAAUAGACACUCUGGAGCAUCUCUUGAUGUUUAAUAGAUGUCAAAUACUGGUAAUAUGCUGUUAUUAAAAAUGUUAGUUUCCUGAA